AACGAACGUUGGCGGCGUGGAUGAGGCAUGCAAGUCGAACGCGAAAGCCGCAAGGCGAGUAAAGUGGCGGACGGGCGAGUAACACGUAAUCAAGCUACCUGUGAGACGGGGAUAACUUCGGGAAACCGAAGCUAAGAUCCGAUGGCCUUAGGAGACCGCAUGGUUUCCUAAGUAAAUGGGCGGGACCUUUCGGGGUCGCCUGCUCGCAGAGGUGAUUGCGGCCCAUCAGCUAGUUGGUAGGGUAAUGGCCUACCAAGGCAACGACGGGUAGCCGGCCUUAGAGGGUGGUCGGCCGCACUGGGACUGAGACACUGCCCAGACUCCUACGGGAGGCUGCAGUCGAGAAUCUUCCGCAAUGGGCGAAAGCCUGACGGAGCGACGCCGCGUGGAGGAUGAAGGCC
rnacentral:rRNA from 1 species